rnacentral:rRNA from 1 species
GAUGAACGCUGGCGGCGUGCCUAAUACAUGCAAGUCGAGCGAACAGACGAGGAGCUUGCUCCUCUGACGUUAGCGGCGGACGGGUGAGUAACACGUGGAUAACCUACCUAUAAGACUGGGAUAACUUCGGGAAACCGGAGCUAAUACCGGAUAAUAUAUUGAACCGCAUGGUUCAAUAGUGAAAGACGGUUUUGCUGUUACUUAUAGAUGGAUCCGCGCUGGAUUAGCUAGUUGGUAAGGUAACGGCUUACCAAGGCGACGAUGCGUAGCCGGCCUGAGAGGGUGAUCAGCCACACUGGAACUGAGACACGGUCCAGACUCCUACGGGAGGCAGCAGUAGGGAAUCUUCGGCAAUGGGCGCAAGCCUGACGGAGCAACGCCGCGUGAGUGAUGAAGGUCUUCGGAUCGUAAAACUCUGUUAUUAGGAAAGAAAAACUGUGUAAGUAACCAUGCACGUCUUGACGGUACCUAAUGAAAAAGCCACGGCUAACUACGUG